CUUGCUUUCUUUUGCUGGCGACCGGCGCACGGGUGAGUAACACGUAUCCAACCUGCCCUUUACUCGGGGAUAGCCUUUCGAAAGAAAGAUUAAUACCCGAUAGUAUAAUGACUCCGCAUGGUUUCAUUAUUAAAGGAUUCCGGUAAAGGAUGGGGAUGCGUUCCAUUAGGUUGUUGGUGAGGUAACGGCUCACCAAGCCUUCGAUGGAUAGGGGUUCUGGGAGGAAGGUCCCCCACAUUGGAACUGAGACACGGUCCAA
rnacentral:rRNA from 1 species